rnacentral:rRNA from 1 species
CCUACGGGUGGCAGCAGUGGGGAAUAUUGGACAAUGGGCGAAAGCCUGAUCCAGCCAUGCCGCGUGUGUGAAGAAGGCCUUCGGGUUGUAAAGCACUUUCAGUGGGGAAGAAAGCCUUGGGGCUAAUACCCGCGAGGAAGGACAUCACCCACAGAAGAAGCACCGGCUAACUCCGUGCCAGCAGCCGCGGUAAUACGGAGGGUGCGAGCGUUAAUCGGAAUUACUGGGCGUAAAGCGCGCGUAGGCGGUCUGAUAAGCCGGUUGUGAAAGCCCCGGGCUCAACCUGGGAACGGCAUCCGGAACUGUCAGGCUAGAGUGCAGGAGAGGAAGGUAGAAUUCCCGGUGUAGCGGUGAAAUGCGUAGAGAUCGGGAGGAAUACCAGUGGCGAAGGCGGCCUUCUGGACUGACACUGACGCUGAGGUGCGAAAGCGUGGGUAGCAAACAGGAUUAGAUACCCUAGUAGUC